rnacentral:rRNA from 1 species
UUCGCAAUGCCCGAAAGGGUGACGAAGCGACGCCGCGUGUGGGAAGAAGGCCUUCGGGUUGUAAACCACUGUCGGGAGUUAAGAAAUGCAAGGAUAUGAAUAGUGUCUUUGCUUGACUAAGGCUCCGGAGGAAGCCACGGCUAACUCUGUGCCAGCAGCCGCGGUAAUACAGAGGCGGCAAGCGUUGUUCGGAAUUAUUGGGCGUAAAGAGCACGUAGGCGGCUAUGUAAGUCGGUUGUGAAAGCCUUCCGCUCAACGGGAGAACAGCAUCCGAUACUACAUGGCUUGAGUGCGGGAGGGGAGAGUGGAACUUCUGGUGGAGCGGUGAAAUGCGUAGAUAUCAGAAGGAACGCCGGCGGCGAAAGCGGCUCUCUGGCCCAUAACUGACGCUGAGUGUGCGAAAGCUAGGGGAGCAAACGGGAUUAGAUACCCCGGUAGUCCUAGCCGUAAACGAUGGGCACUAAGUAGAGGGGUUU